GAUGAACGCUGGCGGCGUGCCUAAUACAUGCCAGUCGAGCGAACAGACGAGGAGCUUGCUCCUCUGACGUUAGCGGCGGACGGGUGAGUAACACGUGGAUAACCUACCUAUAAGACUGGGAUAACUUCGGGAAACCGGAGCUAAUACCGGAUAAUAUAUUGAACCGCAUGGUUCAAUAGUGAAAGACGGUUUUGCUGUCACUUAUAGAUGGAUUCGCGCCGCAUUAGCUAGUUGGUAAGGUAACGGCUUACCAAGGCGACGAUGCGUAGCCGACCUGAGAGGGUGAUCGGCCACACUGGAACUGAGACACGGUCCAGACUCCUACGGGAGGCAGCAGUAGGGAAUCUUCCGCAAUGGGCGAAAGCCUGACGGAGCAACGCCGCGUGAGUGAUGAAGGUCUUCGGAUCGUAAAACUCUGUUAUUAGGGAAGAACAAAUGUGUAAGUAACUAUGCACGUCUUGACGGUACCUAAUCAGAAAGCCACGGCUAACUACGUG
rnacentral:rRNA from 1 species